rnacentral:rRNA from 1 species
AUUGAACGCUGGCGGCAGGCCUAACACAUGCAAGUCGAGCGAGCGGCGGACGGGUGAGUAAUGUCUGGGAAACUGCCUGAUGGAGGGGGAUAACUACUGGAAACGGUAGCUAAUACCGCAUACCAUCAGAUGUGCCCAGAUGGGAUUCGCUAGUAGGUGGGGUAACGGCUCACCGAGGCGACGAUCCCUAGCUGGUCUGAGAGGAUGACCAGCCACAGUGGAACUGAGACACGGUCCAGGCUCCUACGGGAGGCAGCGGUAGGGAAUAUUGCACAAUGGGCGCAAGCCAGAUUCAGCCAUGCCGCAUGUGUGAAGAAGGCCUUCGGGUUGUAAAGCACUUUCAGCGAGGAGGCGUUACUCGCAGAAGAAGCACCGGCUAACUCCGUGCCAGCGGCCGCGGUAAUUC